rnacentral:rRNA from 1 species
UAGUCCACGCCCUAAACGAUGAAUGCUAGUCGUCGGAAAGCUUGUCUUUUCGGUGAUGCAGUUAACACAUUAAGCAUUCCGCCUGGGGAGUACGGUCGCAAGAUUAAAACUCAAAGGAAUAGACGGGGACCCGCACAAGUGGUGGAGCAUGUGGUUUAAUUCGAAGAUACGCGAAGAACCUUACCUAGGCUUGACAUACCAAGAAUCUUGUAGAGAUACAGGAGUGCUAGCUUGCUAGAAUUUGGAUACAGGUGCUGCACGGCUGUCGUCAGCUCGUGUCGUGAGAUGUUGGGUUAAGUCCCGCAACGAGCGCAACCCUCGUCGUUAGUUGCUAACAGUUCGGCUGAGCACUCUAGCGAGACUGCCUUCGCAAGGGAGGAGGGAAGGUGAGGGACGACGUCAAGGUCAUCAUGGGCCCUUAUGCCUAGGGG